GUGCUCACUUCAGCAGCACAUAUACUAAAAUUGGAAUGGUACAGAGAAGAUUGGCAUGGCCCCUGUACAAGGAUGACAUGCAAAUUGGUGAAGCAUUCCAUAUUUUA
ensembl:snRNA U6 U6 spliceosomal RNA